UCGCCCUGCUCUUGCAGUCUGAGGGCUCCAAGGGACCAGUGGCAAUGCGGGAAGAGCAGCGGGCAGGAAGGGCAGCCUGAAGGCUCUCGGCCCCUGCCGGUCACUCAGCUCUCCGGAGCUCUGUCGUUCUCAGAGAAGCCGCCCAAUUACAAGAAUCAGCGAUUGAACCCUCAAAGGCGCCCAAAAUCGACUGCAAGCACCCGAAGUAUCACAUUUGCCUUCUUCCUACAUUUCUAUCGCCCUGGUGGAGACACUGGUGCGCCUCAAAGGGCCCCGACCACCCACUCGACUCUGAGACCCUGGGUCCAGACUCCUCUGCAUCCCCACCCUACAGCCCUGCUGCCUCCAAGCCAGCUUCUCCUCUUGUCCUGUCUUCCAGCUGUCACGAAGCACGACGCCUUCAGCGCAGCCCAAGAAGCAAGGCAAGAACCUAAUCGCACCCUUUUCCAGCCUCCCCUAACCCCCUGGCUCGGCACUCUAGGGGGGCAUGCCAAGGUCACCAGAAGAGGCGUGACAGUCUCAACCUUAGCUCCCCCCAAACAACUAUCUGGGAUCCCGGGGACGAGUUCUUCUCCAGUCCCUCAACCCAAUUGAGGGUCUCCUCCUUUGAUACCCCAUGGUCCCACCAAGACCCCUCCCUCCCUUCCCUCUCCUGGUGCUUGCCCCCAUCGGGAAACGCUCACUUUCUCUCCUGUAUAAGGCUCUCUUGUAAGUCUCCCCUCAGUUUCCUUAGAGAAUGAGGGGAGGAGACGUGCCUCCCACUCGCGCAGGGGGAGCAGCAGGGGAACCGACGCAAACUUCUGCUGCACUUACUUCGGGCGAGGCUGCCGCCCCCUCGCCUCUGCUCGCUCUAGCACCGGCUGCUGCUCCGCGGUGACAUGAAGCCACCACGCUCGCAUUCCCCACACCAGCGCAGCUGCGAAAUGCGCAAGAAGGGAAAGGAGUCUCUCUCCAGCGAGCGUGCCCGGGGCCGGAGUGCGGGGCAGAGGUCUGGCCGCCGCGCUUGGCUGCUAGCUGAGCAGUGGCAGCCUUCGCCCCGGGAUGCUGCGCUCAGCGCCGCGCGCUCUGCUCCUCUGCUUGGUUGUUUCUGUCCGACUUGCAGUUUUAGUGCAUGCCAGGACUGCAGCACCCUCUCCGUCCUCCCCGGGAAACGACUUUCAAUUCACCUGGUAGCUGGCGAGGUUCUGCUGAGGGCGAGCAGCGUGACAGCGGGUGCAGAGGAGAGGGAGGAGCGCGGGAGCAGCGGCUGCCCGAGUGCGCCUCCAGCUUCCUCGGCUAAGAGCGCGCAGCCCUCUCCAGCAGCUCUCCUGGGGACUGCAGUCCUGACGUCACCUACACCCCCCGCUCCCCCAACCCCAGCGGAGGAGCGGCGCGCAGGGUGGGGUGCAGAGAGCGAGGACGAGUGAGUGUAAGCGGGAGUGAAUGUGUGUGUGUGUGUGUGUGUGCACGCGCGUGUGCCCCGCAGGGCCGGGGACGGAUUGGAAGGGCCGCUGGAACCUGAAAGAAGCCUGAAACAGCUUUCUACAAACAGUCGCCAAGGGUUUGCCGUGAACAGCCGGGGGCGCUCGCUUUCAGGUUGGGGCGGGAAUACUAGGGAGGUUGAGUUUGGACGAGGGAAAGGAUUAACAAAGCCUGGGCGAUGGAAGUGCGGGAGUUGGGUACUCUUUUCCCAAAGUUGGAGGAUGCACAGAACGCUUUUCAAAAAGCUGCGCUAGAGGUUUAGGAGGAACAGGGAGUAGACCUUAUGGGAGAGUUGAUAUUCACGCUCCUGUAGCAGGGGAUCGGGUUGGAGUUGGGAUGUUCUCAGGAUCCUCUUGGCCUCCACUAGUGCUUGCAAUUCCCGAGAGGAAGGAGCCGAGCGAGUCCUUUGAGGAGUCAAACGAGUCCUCUUACCGCUGACUACUGUCAAGUUGCUGCAAAGAAAGCAAAGUGGCUGGCUUUCCGCACCCAGUUUCUCCCGGUGUGAACCUGAGGGAGCGUUUCUGCCAGAAGCUGGACGUAAGCACCCGUAGCCAGCAAAAGGGAUCAAGGCCAAGGCAGGGCUCCAGGUGCGUGAGGCCCCGCCCUUCGGUCCUGGUCUGAGGCCGCGGUGGUGAGAACUCCAGGAAAGAUUCUCUUGAGGUCAUCAGGGUGAGGUCACCAUUUGAGUCUUUGCCGCUCUCCAGGACCUGUGCUCCAAAGUAUGGGACAAGCAUAAAAACAGAAGCACAGACCAAUGCAACAAAAAUCAAAGCCUGGAAAUAAACUUUUUUAAAUGGUCAACUAAUUAUCAACAAGGACACCAAACGCUCACAAUGGGAAACAGUCACUUUAAUAAAUGGUGCUGGGAAAAUUGGAUCCUACAUUAAAAAGAAAAAAAAAAUGGAACCCUUUUCUUAUGCUGAAAAUGGACAAAAGACCUAAAUGUAAGGCCCAAAGCUAUAAAAGUCCUAAAAGAGAACAGAAGGGGAAGGCUCCUUUAAAUUGACUUUGGCAAUGAAUUUUUUGGAUAUCACAUCAAAAGCUCCGGCUACCAAAGCAAAAAUAAAUACAGGGACCACAUCAAACCCAAAACCUUGUGCAGAAUAAGGGAAACAACCAACAAAAUGAAAAAUAUUUGCAAGCCACAUAUCUAAUAAAGGGUUAAUAUCCAAAAUUUAUUAAGAACUCUUAAAACUCAGUAGCAGAAAAAUAAAUGACACAAUUAAAAAAUGAGCAAAGGACCUUCUUUUAUGUCCAAAGAGGACAUAAAAAUGGCCAGAAGGUAUGUGAAAAGAUAGUCAACAUAAUCAAUCAAAAGGGAAAUUUGAACUAAAAAUACUCUGAGAAAUCACUCACACCAGUUAGAAUAGUCAUUAUCAAAAAGACAGAUAACAAAUGUAGAUAUGGAAAUGGAAAACAAGCAGACCUUUGUAAACUGUUGGUGGAAAUGUAGAUUGGUACAACCAUUGUAGAAAACAGUAUGCAUGUUCCUAAAGAAAUUAAAAAUAGAACUACCCCUGUGAUCUAUCAAUUUCUCUUCUGAGUAUAUGGACAAAAAUGAAAUCACUACCUUGUAAAGAAAUCUAGACUCUAAUGUUCAUUGCAACAUUAUCCACAAUAGCUAAGUAAUAGAAACAACCUAAAUAUGAAUGGACAAAGAAAUAGUGGUAUUUAUACAAUGGAAUAUUGUUCAACUUUUUUUAGUUGUUUUAAUGGCAUUACAUGGAAAAACCAUAAAAAAGUAUACACCUUGGGAAUAUUGUCAUUCCCAAAUAUUUUUAAUGUUUGUAUUGGUUCAUAAAUACAAAAGAGUAGGAAGUAUAGUCUUAAAACUUCUGAAUCUGAUAACUUUCCCUAAUUCAGCCUGUUUAACCAUUUCCAAGAAGACACCUUCUUUUUUCUUUUUUUUAUUUGUUCUAAUUAGUUAUACAUGACAGUAGAAUGUAUUUUGACACAUUAUACACAAAUGGAGCAUAGCUUCUUCUUCCUCUGGCUGAACAUAGAAGUCAAUCUUAAAAAAGGAAAUUCUACCAUUUGUCACAACAUGGAUAGGAUUGGAGGAUAUUAUGCUAAGUUCAAUAAACCAAUGGUAGAAUGGAAAAUAUUGCAUGGUUUCACAUAUACAAUAAGACAUAUUCACAUGAAUAUAGUUGAAGUGCAUUUGUGUUUUUUUUUUUUUUCCCCAAAAAGAGAGCUCAGUACAGAGAAUGAAAUAGUGGUUUCCAUGGAUGGGGAAGGGGAGAGAAAAUGAGAUGUAGGUCAAAGAAAAUAGCAUAUGUGUAGGCUGAACAAGUUUAGAGAUUGAAUAUACAAUAUGAGGAUAAAAUUGUAUAAUAUUAGAGAUUUUAUUAAAUAGUAAAUUUUUGGCUGCUGCUGUCACAAAAAUAGCAACUGGGUUAUUGUAUGUUAUCUGCCUCACUAUAGUAACCAUUUUACUAUCUAUAUGUAUCCAGUCCAUCAUGCUACAAAUCUCAAAUAUAAAUGAUAAAAUUUAAUUUAAAAUGAUAUAAAAUAAAAUACAAUAUUUUAAGCUAUAUAAAAUAAAAUACAAUAUCAAUGUUACAUAUGUUUACAUAUAUGAAAUGGAAAAGAUGGAAAGGAGAAGAGAAGAAAGGGAAGGAUAGGGAAAAAAAUCAGCUUUCUAAAGGAUAAAUAUUGAUGGCCCAAUUUAUCACUAGAAUUUCUUUCUUGUUCAUUUUGACAUUUACAUGUUUUAAAGAUUGGUUUGGGAAAAUCAGAAGCACUAUCCAAAAUGCAUUACACAUACUUUUCUCAUUGUGUAUAAUGCAGCCCAUCAUUUUAAAUUGGGCAUAGGCAUUGCUGAUAAGUUAAGAACCUUUGUAAGUUCAACCUACCUGGACUGUGCCCUAAUUAGUAUGAGAAGAACCAAGAUUCAGGCACUCUCAAUACAGCCCAACAGGCCAAGCCAAUGUGACAUGACUGCACUCAGGCUACCUAUGUCCAAGCAGUUUAAUUAUCAGAUAAUUACAGGGACCCCCCCCCCCAACACACACACAAACCUGUAUCAAUCCACAGCUACCAUAGAGCCAGAGCAUCAUGGUCACAAAGAAGAAACAGAUCUGCUCUGUUGGGGCCAGGAUAGGAGGUUCCUGUGUUGGAGCAGGAGGUAUACUUCAAUACAGUAGUGGCUCUUCUUCACAUACUCCAUAGCCAUUAAAGCUCUGAGCCAAACACAAAUACUAGGUAACACAACCAUGGAGAAUCAUAAUCCUGAGCUUCUAGAAGCUAUCUCCACCAUCAAAAUAAGCUCCCUCCAUCUUUGAUGUGGCUUCUCAUUUUCUGCAACAGGAAAAGUAAAGAAAAAUUAAAAAACAAAACAAAACAACAACAAAAACCAAGAAUAAAAAU